AACUUUCGGCAAUGGAUCACUUGGCCCUCGCUUCGAUGAAGAACGCAGCGAAAUGCGAUAAGUAAUGUGAAUUGCAGAAUUCAGUGAAUCAUCGAAUCUUUGAACGCAGCUUGCGCUCCUUGGUAUUCCGAGGAGCAUGCCUGUUUGAGUGUCAUUAAUAUAUCAACCUUCUCUUGUUGAGUGGGUUUGGAUGUGGGGGUUUGCUGGCCUCUUAAGAGGUUUCAGCUCUCCUGAAAUGCAUUAGCAGAACAACCCUGUUCAUUGGUGUGAUAACUAUCUACGCUAUUGAAUGUGAAGGGCAGUUUGGCUUUCUAACAGUCCUUGGACAGCUCAUCAUUAAUGUGACCUCAAAUCAGGUAGGACUACCCGCUGAACUUAAGCAUAUCAAUAAGCGGAGGCU
rnacentral:misc_RNA from 1 species